UCCGUCACGUGGGUGUAGCUAUAUAAGCGGAGCCGCCAGCGCUGUGCUAUUUAUUGUGACCUUGCAGGAGGAGUUGUCACAGUGUUUGAGCGCUAUAUUAGAAUCAUGCCUGCCGCAUUCACACGAUUUCUUCGGCUGCCGCUCCUGGCUCAGACCUCCGCACGGAGGGGUAUUGCUUCCAAACCUGCCACCAGGCCCAUGAGCACCGCGGACAACCUGGUUGGUUUCACUGUGUUUGUGGUUGGUUUCUUGCUUCCAUCUGGCUGGAUCCUCUCAAACAUGGAGUCUUACAAGAAGAGGGACUGAUUCUGCUCCCCGUCUGCAUGGGUCGUACAAACAGGACUGACCUAACUACAACACAUUCCUCCUGUGCUGACCGGACACUGCAUCAGCUUGAAACGCACAUCAUGACUUGUCUGUUACAUUAAAAUGUUUACACUUGUUCAUUCUGUAUUUAUUUACAUUGUUCUAUAACCGUUUCAUUUCCAAAAGUAAAAUCGACAAAUAGAA